GCAGCUGGCAACAAGGAUAGAAAUUACAGAGAAAAACCAGUUUAGGGCCAACACUGAGGCUAACCCUAAGAGGGAAUGCAAGAUUAUGACAAGCCAGAGUGGUUGGGACGAAGACAGUCAAGAUGGUUGGGAGGAAGAUAUUGAACCAUUCCACGUGGUUAACAGUGAAGAAGAAGAGACGUUAAUGGGUGAAUUCUUUGAACCCAUGAGCAGUGAAGAUGAAGGAGAGGAAAAUUAUAAGGAAAAAGAAGUUGGUGAAGUGACGGUGUCACCUUUAGAAAAUGAGCAGAGUCCUCCCCAUUCAGAAAGAAUCAAAAGUAACAAGGAGGAUGAAAUGGAGCUUACUGAUGAAGAAGAGGAUCU
rnacentral:lncRNA from 1 species